AACGAACGCUGGCGGCAGGCUUAACACAUGCAAGUCGAACGCCCCGCAAGGGGAGUGGCAGACGGGUGAGUAACGCGUGGGAAUCUACCCAAUUCUACGGAACAACAGUUGGAAACGACUGCUAAUACCGUAUACGCCCUACGGGGGAAAGAUUUAUCGGAAUUGGAUGAGCCAGCGUUGGAUUAGCUAGUUGGUGGGGUAAAGGCCUACCAAGGCGACGAUCCAUAGCUGGUCUGAGAGGAUGAUCAGCCACAUUGGGACUGAGGCACGGCCCAAACUCCUACGGGAGGCAGCAGUGGGGAAUAUUGGACAAUGGGCGCAAGCCUGAUCCAGCCAUGCCGCGUGAGUGAUGAAGGUCUUAGGAUUGUAAAGCUCUUUCACCGGAGAAGAUAAUGACGGUAUCCGGAGAAGAAGCCCCGGCUAACUUCGUGCCAGCAGCCGCGGUAAUACGAAGGGGGCUAGCGUUGUUCGGAAUUACUGGGCGUAAAGCGCACGUAGGCGGAUAGUUU
rnacentral:rRNA from 1 species